GAGUUUGAUCGUGGCUCAGGAUGAACGCUGGCGGCGUGCUUAACACAUGCAAGUCGAACGAGGAAUUUUAAAUGAGACUUCGGUGGAUUUUAAAAUUCUUAGUGGCGGACGGGUGAGUAACGCGUGGGCAACCUGCCCUGUACAGGGGGACAACAGCUGGAGACGGCUGCUAAUACCGCAUAAGACCACGGAGCCGCAUGGCUCAGUGGGAAAAACUCCGGUGGUACAGGAUGGGCCCGCGUUGGAUUAGGUAGUUGGUGAGGUAACGGCCCACCAAGCCGACGAUCCAUAGCCGACCUGAGAGGGUGACCGGCCACGUUGGGACUGAGACACGGCCCAAACUCCUACGGGAGGCAGCAGUGGGGAAUCUUCCGCAAUGGGCGAAAGCCUGACGGAGCAACGCCGCGUGAGUGAAGAAUUAUUUCGGUAUGUAAAGCUCUAUCAGCAGGGAAGAAAAUGACGGUACCUGACUAAGAAGCCCCGGCUAACUACGUGACAGCCGCCGCCGUAAG
rnacentral:rRNA from 1 species